CGUCGUUGCGGGAGCAUUAACGUAAUUUACCUAAUGUGCAUACCCCGUGAUAGCCCUAUAGUCGUGCCGUCCUCGUCCUCCUCUCCUGGUUCCGGCCGUUAGUCUGUCUACUCCCUUGGUCGUCCUGUUCUCCUCAGCUGCCUUUGCACAGCCCUGGUUGGAGACAGAUGCUGCACGGCCCUUCCACACAGACACACAAACUGAGGAACAAAUGAAGACAAAGUGAAGUGACACACAGAUCACUGUAGCGCAUCAAGAUCAGAGGAGCUGCUUGCUAAACUGACAGGACAAGACAGAUUACUACACUCUGUAACUCAUUGCAUGACUCAUGGUACAGAGCGUACUGUAUGUGUGCAGUUGUGUGUCUGUGAUUGUGAGUCUUCUAGUAUGCCUCUUGAGUAAAUCAUGUUGUUGGCACUUAAAAGGAAUAGGGAGUGGUUGAAAGGGGCUAUUGAAUGACAAAAACAUACAGAAGUAAAUCAAUAUUGUACAUUACAGAUAUCACAGUCACUCACUCGAAUGUCUUCCCAUUACAGCUGCACAUGAAAUGUCUCAAUAUCAUUUGUGUUCCGUCCCCCGCAGGAACAAGUAUACAGCACUUACAGUAAUAACAAGACCAAGUUUUCAAAUUACCACUGUGAACAGCAACAUUACCAACAAAAAUAACCAAUGUGAAUGAUUCAACAUUGGGCACUUGGAAAUUACCCUAUCUGACAUUGUACAGACAAAACUAUUAAGUGAGAACAUAAUCAUCAGAGUAACUGAUAAUAUUAGUGCUUACUGUAGUUGCAGUCCCCUACAUUUACUAAUGAUGUCACAAAUGGUCAUUUGUGUUAGUGUUUCCCUUAUGUGCAAGUUAUCACAGCUUAUUUAACUGAUGUAUAAUGCUCAUAACUUGAGGAUUAA